UACGAAGGGGGCAGGCGUUGUUCGGAAUUACUGGGCGUAAAGGGCGCGUAGGCGGUGCACUAAGUCAGGCGUGAAAGCCCUGGGCUCAACCCGGGAAUUGCGCUUGAUACUGGUGCGCUUGAAUCCAGGAGAGGUUGGUGGAAUUCCCAGUGUAGAGGUGAAAUUCGUAGAGAUUGGGAAGAACACCGGUGGCGAAGGCGGCCAACUGGACUGGUAUUGACGCUGAGGCGCGAAAGCGUGGGGAGCAAACAGG
rnacentral:rRNA from 1 species